UCUCUUCUCUUGUCUGCCACCAUGUGAGACAUGACUUUCACCUUCUGCCAUGAUUGUGAGGCAUCCUCAGCCACUUGGAACUACACACAUUUAAACCCUGUGUAGUGAGAAGACUCUGCCUUUUUGGAAUCCUUUGAUCCUCACUCUCCAACUAAAGUUUAGGAAGAAAGACACUAUUGAAAUUCAACACAGAGUUUUAAGGAUUCCAGCCUUCACUCCUCUUGGCUCCAUCUAGGAAGAGCGACAGAGCCUCUCUCUCUCGCCCAAGCUAGAGUGCAGUGGCGCGAUCUCGGCUCACUGCAACCUCCGCCUCCCGGAUUCACGCCAUUCUCCUGCCUCCGCCUCCCUAGUAGCUGGGACUACAGGUGCCCGCCACCACGCCUGGGUAAUUUUUUGUAUUUUUAGUAGAGACAGAGUUUCACCGUGUUAGCCAGGGUGGUCUUGAUUUCCUGACCUUGUGAUCCACCUGCCUCGGCCUCCCAAAAUGCUGGGAUUACAGACCUGAGCCACCACGCCCAGCCAAAGACUAGCGUUCUUAUAAAAAGGGGAAAUUUAGACACAGACAUGCACAAAGAGAGAAUACCGUGUGACCAUGAAGGCGGAGAUUAGGGUGAUGCAUCCAAAGGCCAAGGAAUGCCGGUGGUCGCCAGCAAACCACCAGAAG